rnacentral:lncRNA from 1 species
UUUUAUUUGCUAUACGUAUUCCUACACAAUUCUAGAACCCUCCUCUGCUUUCAAAACGUAUUUUCUUCAUCUUCACACUUGGACCUGCUACUCCUCUUUCAUUUACAUUGAUCUUCUAGCUGGGUCUCUCAAUUUCAGGUAAGGGAAUCCUUAAUUUUUGCUUUAAUAUUCGUCUUCGGUGGUUACGUUAUAACUUCACGUCUGAUCAUCUGUCAAUUUUUGUCCAGAUCUUAUCCGUUCUUCUUGUUUUCUCCUUGAUUUUUUGGUUCUCUUCGGUCUUCCCAAAUUCAUGGCUCGUAUCAUUCUAUUUUUCUUGGUAGUAAUUUCAUUUGCUUUCCCCUUUUUUUUUUUUUUUUGAAUUUCAAAAAAUGUCCCUUUAAAUUCUAUUAUAUGCGAACAAAUUCAUGAUAUACAUAAGCGAACGAAUUC